GCAAACGGGAUUAGAUACCCUGGUAGUCCACGCUGUAAACGAUGUCGAUUUGGAGGUUGUGCCCUUGAGGCGUGGCUUCCGGAGCUAACGCGUUAAAUCGACCGCCUGGGGAGUACGGCCGCAAGGUUAAAACUCAAAUGAAUUGACGGGGGCCCGCACAAGCGGUGGAGCAUGUGGUUUAAUUCGAUGCAACGCGAAGAACCUUACCUACUCUUGACGUCCAGAGAACUUAGCAGAGAUGCUUUGGUGCCUUCGGGAACUCUGAGACAGGUGCUGCAUGGCUGUCGUCAGCUCGUGUUGUGAAAUGUUGGGUUAAGUCCCGCAACGAGCGCAACCCUUAUCCUUUGUUGCCAGCGGUUCGGCCGGGAACUCAAAGGAGACUGCCAGUGAUAAACUGGAGGAAGGUGGGGAUGACGUCAAGUCAUCAUGGCCCUUACGAGUAGGGCUACACACGUGCUACAAUGGCAUAUACAAAGAGAAGCGACCUCGCGAGAGCAAGCGGACCUCAUAAAGUAUGUCGUAGUCCGGAUUGGAGUCUGCAACUCGACUCCAUGAAGUCGGAAUCGCUAGUAAUCGUAGAUCAGAAUGCUACGGUGAAUACGUUCCCGGGCCUUGUACACACCGCCCGUCACACCAUGGGAGUGGGUUGCAAAAGAAGUAGGUAGCUUAACCUUCGGGAGGGCGCUUACCACUUUGUGAUUCAUGACUGGGGU
rnacentral:rRNA from 1 species